UACGAAGGGGGCUAGCGUUGCUCGGAAUCACUGGGCGUAAAGGGUGCGUAGGCGGGUCUUUAAGUCAGGGGUGAAAUCCCCGGGCUCAACCCGGGAACUGCGUCCGAUACUGGAAGGCUUGAAUCCGGGAGAGGGAUGCGGAAUUCCAGGUGUAGCGGUGAAAUGCGUAGAUAUCUGGAGGAACACCGGUGGCGAAGGCGGCAUCCUGGACCGGCAUUGACGCUGAGGCGCGAAAGCCAGGGGAGCAAACGGG
rnacentral:rRNA from 1 species